rnacentral:snoRNA from 1 species
UCUCUAUGAUGAUUUAUUCAGUUCUGCUUCCGAAAAGGACAUAACCCUUUGUGGACAGCUAAAUCAUACCAAAACACUACUGAUUC